GCAUUAAAAUUCCCAUGCACUAAAAUUGGAAUGAUACAGAGAAGAAUAGCAUGUCCCCUGUGCAAGGAUGACACACAAAUUCGUGAAAUGUUCCAUAGUUAU
ensembl:snRNA U6 U6 spliceosomal RNA